AAUCAACGCUGGCGGCGCGCCUAACACAUGCAAGUCGAACGAGAAAGCCGCAAGGCAAGUAAAGUGGCGUACGGGUGAGUAACACGUGGAUCAUCUACCUUCUAGUGGGGAAUACCGUUGGGAAACCGACGACAAUACCGCAUAAGCUCGAGAGAGGAAAGCAGCAAUGCGCUGGAAGAGGAGUCCGCGGUCGAUUAGUUAGUUGGCGGGGUAAAGGCCCACCAAGACUGUGAUCGAUAGCCGGCCUGAG
rnacentral:rRNA from 1 species